rnacentral:rRNA from 1 species
GAUUGUUCACCCACCAAUAGGGAACGUGAGCUGGGUUUAGACCGUCGUGAGACAGGUUAGUUUUACCCUAUUGAUGACAGUGUCGCAAUAGUAAUCCAACCUAGUACGAGAGGAACCGUUGAUUCGCACAAUUGGUCAUCACGCUUGGUUGAAAAGCCAGUGGCGCGAAGCUACCGUGAGCUGGAUUAUGACUGAACGCCUCUAAGUCAGAAUCCGGGCUAGAAGCGACACGUGCGCCCGCCGCCCGUUUGCUAACCAAUAGUAGGGGCCACCCGGCCCCCAAAGGCACGUGUCGUUGGUGAAGCCCGCGCGGCGGAUGAGCCGCGCGGGUUGCCUUGAAGUAUAAUUCUUAUCGAGCGGCGGGUAGAAUCCUUUGCAGACGACUUAAAUACGUGACGGGGUAUUGUAAGUGGCAGAGUGGCCUUGCUGUCACGAUCCACUGAGAU